GCGGAAUUAGUUUAAUGGCAGAACACGACCUUCCCAAGGUUGAGGCACGGGUUCGAUUCCCGUAUCCCGCA
rnacentral:tRNA from 1 species